rnacentral:miRNA from 1 species
UGCAAAAGUAAUUGUGGUUUUUGUCAUUAAAAGUAAUGGCAAAAAACUACAAUUACUUU